UACGAAAGCUCCGAAGGUCGUUUGCAGA
rnacentral:piRNA from 1 species